rnacentral:lncRNA from 1 species
AUGUAUUCAUAUUAUUGUGAUUCGAAGGUUGCUUAUGUGGGUUUGUUUAAUUAAAUUUGCGUUAUAGAUAACUUUUGUAUUUUAAUCUUAUGUGGUUGCAAACACGUAGGGUUUUAAUAUGAAUGAUGCUAGGUUUAAGAACAUGAAAUCGACUUUUCGUUUUGUGUAAACUUGAAUCAAAGUAGUAAAGGUUUUGUGCAAAGACCGAAUUUAAUUAAAGAGGAUUGCAAUUAGGUGGACUUUUCCAUACUAAGUUGUACACUUGAGUUGAUAGCCUUUCUCUAUGUGUAAUGCGUUAAACAUGACAUGAUUGACUAGCUUUCUAGGGUUUGAUUGCAUGUUUAAUAGGAUUAAUCAAGGUGCUUUCGCUUAGGUUAAUUAGCAUUGAAAAGUAAAAAAUGGGAAUUCAUUUGCUUUCGAAUGUUUCACAUGAUCAACUCCUCU